CCCCUAGAUGUUCUGGGCCGCACGCGCGCUACACUGAACAGUUCAACAAGUCUUAACCUUGGCCGAUAGGUCUGGGUAAUCUUUGAACGCUGUUCGUGAUUGGGAUAGACCUUUGCAAUUAUGGGUCUUCAACGAGGAAUUCCUAGUAAACGCAAGUCAUCAGCUUGCAUUGAUUACGUCCCUGCCCUUUGUACACACCGCCCGUCGCACCUACCGAUUGAAUGGUCCGGUGAAAUCUCGGGACGGCGGCUUGGUCGCUCGCGUCCGACUGCUGAAACUUGAUUAAACCAUAUCAUUUAGAGGAAGGUGAAGUCGUAACA
rnacentral:rRNA from 1 species